GAUGAACGCUGGCGGCGUGCCUAAUACAUGCAAGUCGAGCGAACAGACGAUGAGCUUGCUCCUCUGACGUUAGCGGCGGACGGGUGAGUAACAUGUGGAUAACCUACCUAUAAGACUGGGAUAACUUCGGGAAACCGGAGCUAAUACCGGAUAAUAUAUUGAACCGCAUGGUUCAAUAGUGAAAGACGGUUUUGCUGUCACUUCUAGCUGUAUCCGCGCCGCCUUAGCUAGUUGGUAAGGUAACGGCUUACCAAGGCGACGAUGCGUAGCCGACCUGAGAGGGUGUAGGCGCACACUGGAGGUGAGACGCGGUCCAGACUCCUACGGGAGGCAGCAGUAGGGAAUCUGGCGCAAUGGGCGAAAGCCUGACGGAGCAACGCCGCGUGAGUGAUGAAGGUCUUCGGAUCGUAAAACUCUGUUAUGAGGGUAGAACAAAUGUGGAAGGAACUAUGCACGUCGUGACGGUACCUGAUCAGAAAGCAACGGCUAACUACGUG
rnacentral:rRNA from 1 species